UACGGGGGGGGUAAGCGUUGUUCGGAAUUACUGGGCGUAAAGGGCUCGUAGGCGGCCAACUAAGUCAGACGUGAAAUCCCUCAGCUUAACCGGGGAACUGCGUCUGAUACUGGAUGGCUUGAGUUUGGGAGAGGGAUGCGGAAUUCCAGGUGUAGCGGUGAAAUGCGUAGAUAUCUGGAGGAACACCGGUGGCGAAGGCGGCAUCCUGGACCAACACUGACACUGAGGAGCGAAAGCCAGGGGAGCAAACGGG
rnacentral:rRNA from 1 species